GAAAGCGUAAUAGCUCACUGGUCGAGUCGUCCUGCGCGGAAGAUGUAACGGGGCUAAGCCAUGCACCGAAGCUUAGGCUGCACUCUCUGAGUGCGGGGUAGGGGAGCGUUCUGUAAGCCUGUGAAGGUGUCUCGUAAGGGAUGCUGGAGGUAUCAGAAGUGCGAAUGCUGACAUGAGUAGCGUUAAAGCGGGUGAAAAGCCCGCUCGCCGUAAGCGCAAGGUUUCCUACGCAACGUUCAUCGGCGUAGGGUGAGUCGGCCCCUAAGGUGAGGGCGAAAGCCAUAGCUGAUGGGAAGCUGGUUAAUAUUCCAGCACCGAUUUCUAGUGCGAUGGGGGGACGGAUCGUGGAAGGUUGUCCGGGUGUUGGAAGUCCCGGUUCCUGACCUGUAGGUGUCUGGUAGGUAAAUCCGCCAGGCGUAUGCCGAGGGGUUGGGACGAGCGAGCUUGCUCGCGAAGCAACUGGAAGUGGUUCCAAGAAAAGCCUCUAAGCUUCAGCUAGAAACGACCGUACCGCAAACCAACACUGGUGCGCGAGAUGAGUAUUCUCAGGCGCUUGAGAGAACUCGGGAGAAGGAACUCGGCAAAUUGACACCGUAACUUCGGAAGAAGGUGUGCCUUGGUAGCUUGAGUGUGAACAACACAAGGGCAAAGAGGUUGCAAAGAAUAGGUGGCUGCGACUGUUUAUUAAAAACACAGCACUCUGCAAACACGAAAGUGGACGUAUAGGGUGUGACGCCUGCCCGGUGCUGGAAGGUUAAUUGAAGAUGUGAGAGCAUCGGAUCGAAGCCCCAGUAAACGGCGGCCGUAACUAUAACGGUCCUAAGGUAGCGAAAUUCCUUGUCGGGUAAGUUCCGACCCGCACGAAUGGCGUAACGAUGGCCACACUGUCUCCUCCCGAGACUCAGCGAAGUUGAAGUGGUUGUGAAGAUGCAAUCUACCCGCUGCUAGACGGAAAGACCCCGUGAACCUUUACUGUAGCUUUGCAUUGGACUUUGAAGUCACUUGUGUAGGAUAGGUGGGAGGCUUAGAAGCAGAGACGCCAGUCUCUGUGGAGCCGUCCUUGAAAUACCACCCUGGUGUCUUUGAGGUUCUAACCCAGACCCGUAAUCCGGGUCGGGGACCGUGCAUGGUAGGCAGUUUGACUGGGGCGGUCUCCUCCCAAAGAGUAACGGAGGAGUUCGAAGGUUACCUAGGUCCGGUCGGAAAUCGGACUGAUAGUGCAAUGGCAAAAGGUAGCUUAACUGCGAGACCGACAAGUCGAGCAGGUGCGAAAGCAGGACAUAGUGAUCCGGUGGUUCUGUAUGGAAGGGCCAUCGCUCAACGGAUAAAAGGUACUCCGGGGAUAACAGGCUGAUACCGCCCAAGAGUUCAUAUCGACGGCGGUGUUUGGCACCUCGAUGUCGGCUCAUCACAUCCUGGGGCUGAAGUAGGUCCCAAGGGUAUGGCUGUUCGCCAUUUAAAGUGGUACGCGAGCUGGGUUUAGAACGUCGUGAGACAGUUCGGUCCCUAUCUGCCGUGGGCGUUGGAGAAUUGGUUGGGGCUGCUCCUAGUACGAGAGGACCGGAGUGGACGCACCACUGGUGUUCCGGUUGUGUCGCCAGACGCAUUGCCGGGUAGCUAAGUGCGGAAGAGAUAAGUGCUGAAAGCAUCUAAGCACGAAACUUGCCAAGAGAUGAGUUCUCCCAGAUUAUAAAUCUGUAAGGGUUGUUUAAGACUAAGACGUAGAUAGGCAUGGUGUGUAAGUGGUGCGAGCCAUUGAGCUAACAUGUACUAAUUGCCCGAGAGGCUUAGCCAU
rnacentral:rRNA from 1 species